AUCCAACUGAUGAGUCCUAAAUAGGACGAAACGCGCGUCCUGGAU
rnacentral:hammerhead_ribozyme from 1 species